rnacentral:tRNA from 1 species
CAGGGAAUAGUUUAUUAUAAAAUACUAAUUUUGGGAAUUAAAGAAGAAGAUUAUUCUUUUUCUCUGA